CGGUGACGUUGUGAGAAGUUCAUUAAACCUUAUCAUUUAGAGGARGGAGAAGUCGUAACAAGGUUUCCGUAGGUGAACCUGCGGAAGGAUCAUUG
rnacentral:rRNA from 1 species